rnacentral:rRNA from 1 species
UGACCCCAGAGCAGGUGGGAUUACCUGUUAAGUUUAAACAUACCAAUAAGCAAAGGAAAAAAACUUACGUGGAUUCUCCUAGUAAUGGCAAGCGAAUCGAGAAGAGCCCGACUUAAGAAUCAGGCACCUCUAGCAUCUGAAUUGUAAUCUAAAGAAGCAUCCUCAAUGGUAGACUAGGCCUAAGUCCCAUGGAAAAAGUCACCAGAGAGGGUGAGAGCCCCAUUGUGCUUGGACCUUAUCAAACCAUAAGGCACUAUCUGCAAAUCAACUUGUUUCAAAAUAUAGCCCCAAUCAAGUGGUAAAUUCCAUCUAAGGCUAAAUACGAGCAAGAGAUUGAUAGCCAACAAGUACCAUAAGGGAAAAAUGAAAAGCACAUUCAAAAAAACAUUAAAGAGUGCUUGAAAUUGUAGGGAGAAAAAUGGAUAGGGGCCAAUGAUGUACCCCAAUCAGAUGUGGAAUGGUGAGAGUUGGUCCACCGAUCAACUUGGGGCAUAGACCUAUGUGGGUCACGACAGUGGCCCAUGAUUGGGCUUUUGAUAUGCUUGUAGAAAUGUCAUCGCCAUGAUCAUGGAAUGCAGCAAAUGCCAUCUUAGUGUGCCCCAACAUCGUAUUGCUCUUAGCAUCAAUCUGUGGUCUCCCCAUCCAACCCAUCUUGAAACCUGAACCAAAGAGUCUAACAUGUGUGCAAGUCAAUGGGCUGAAAAACCCAUAAGGCAUAAAGAAGUUGAUUAGUGGGAUCUCUCACAGGUGAACUACUGACCAACCUUGAUUUUCUAAGAAGGCUUCGAGUGUGAGCAUGGUCGUCGGGACCUGAAAGUUGGUGAACUAUCCCUAAGUGGGGUAAAGCCAAAGGAAACUCUCGUGGAGGCUAGCAGCAAUACUAACGUGCAAAUCAUUCAUCUGACUUAUGUAUAAGGACAAAAGACUAAUCGAACCAUCUAGUAGCUAGUUCUCUCUGAAGUUUCCCUCAAGAUAGCUAGAGCCCUUAGCAAGUUCUAUCAAGUAAAGAAAAUGAUUAGAGGCAUUAGGGGUGCAACACCCUUGACUUAUUCUCAAACUUUAAAUAGGUAGGAUGGCAUGGCCACUUCAUUAAACUGUGCCAUGAAAUCAAGAACUCCAAGUGGGCCAUUUUUGGUAAGCAAAACUAGUGAUGUGGGAUGAACCAAAAGCCAGGUUACAGUGCCCAACUAUGUGCUAACCUAGAACCCACAAAGCUUAUUGGUCGAUUAAGACAGCAGGAUGGUGUUCAUGGAAGUCAAAAUUUGCUAAGCGAUGUGUAAUAACUCACCUAUAGAAUCAACUAGGCCCAAAAAUGGAUGGCACUUAAGUGAAUGACCUAUACCCUAUCAUCAGGGCAAAAGCCAGGCCUCGAUGAGUAGGAAGGCAUGGUAAUCACUGCAAAACCCAUGGUAUGAGCCUAGGUAGAGCAGCCAUCAAAACAAACCUUGGUGGUAGUAGCAAAUAUUCAAAUGAGAACUUUGAAGGCCAAAAAAGGGAAAUAUUCCCUGUGAACGACACUUGGACAUAGAGCAAGCUUAGAAAGGGAAUUAGGGUAAAAUUCCUAAACUAGGAUGCGAUGAUUGAUGACAAUGUUAGAGCAUCCGAAGAUGUCAUUAAGGGCAUUGGAAAGAGUUGUCUUUUCUCUUUAAUGGCUUGCCCACCCUAGAAAUAGCUCAAUCAGAGGUAGGGUCCAACAACUAGAAAAGCACUACAUGUCACGUGGUGUUUAGUAUGCCCCCAAUGGCUCUUAAAAAUCCAAAAGACCAAGUGCCAAGCAUACUCAUGACCUCAUCAGGUCUCCAAGGUGAAUAGCCUCUACUCCAUGGAAUAAUGUAGACAAGGGAAGUUGGUAAAAUGGAUCCAUAACCUAGGGAAAAGGAUUGGCUAUGAGGGUUGGGCAAAGGGGUCCCAGUCUUAAACCCAUCAACUAUUUUUGCACUACUCGAGCUAUUCCCAUGGUAAAAGUAAGUCACUACGUGCCAACCAAGGGAUGGACUAGGAAUGGCUCCCUCGAGGGCCUUCCCCAAGCAACAAACAGUCAGUUUAAAACUGGUAUAAACAAGGGAAAUCUAACAGUUUAAUUAAAAUAAAGCAAUACGAUGAUCCCUACGGAUGCUUACACAAUGUGAUUUCUACCCAAUGCUCUGAAUGUCAAAGUGAGGAAAUGCAACCGAGCACAGGUAAAUGGCAAGAGUAACUAUGACUCUCUUAAGGUAGCCAUAUGCCUUGUCAUCUAAUUAGUGACUUGCAUGAAUGGAUUAACAAGAUUCCCACUAUCUCUGUCUACUAUCCAACAAAAGCAUAGCCAAAAGAAUAGGCUUGGCAGAAUCAGCAUGGAAAUAAGACCUUAUUGAGCUUGACUCUAGUAUGAAUUUGUGAAAUGACUUGAGAGGUGUAGGAUAAGUGGGAGCUUAGGCAAAAUUGAAAUGCCACUACUUUUAACAUUAUUUUACUUAUUCCAUGAAUCAGAGGUAAGGCAUGACCCCUUCUUUCAGACCCAAGGCUAGCCUCGGUUGGUCAAUCCAAGUGAAAGACAUUGUCAGGUAGGGGGUUUGGCUGGGGUGGCACAUCUAUUAAAAGAUAACAUAGGUGUCCUAAGAUGAGCUUAACGAAAAUAGAAAUCUCAUGUGUAAUAGAAGGGUAAAAGCUCGUUUGAUUUUGAUUUCCAGUAUGAAUACAAACCAUGAAAGCAUGGCCUAUUAAUCUUUUAAACCUUUGGAAUUUGAAGCUAAAGGGUUCAAAAAAGCUAUAACAAAAAUAACUGGCUUAUGGUAGCUAAGCUUUCAUAGUGAUGUUGCUUUUUGAUCCUUCAAUGUCAUCUCUUCCUAUAAUUAAGAAGUAGAAUCACCAAAUGUUGGAUUGUUCACCUACCAAUAGGGAACGUUAGCUAGGUUUAGACUGUCACGAGACAGGUUAGUUUUACUCGACUAAUGGCAGCAUCGCAAUAAUAAUUCAACCUAGUACAAGAGGAACAAUUAAUUCGCACAAUUGAUAAUUGCACUUGGUUGAAAAGCCAUGGGCACGAAGCUACUACAUGCUAGAUUAUGAAUAAACACCUCUAAGUUAGAAUUCAAGUUAGAAGCAAUGUACAUGCAUGCCAUCCAAUUGUUAACUUGCAAUAGGGGCCCAUGGCCCAUAAGGGCACGUGCCGUAGGUGCAACCCCGACAGCAGACAAGUAGCGCAUGCCUCUUUUGACCUUAAUUCCCACCAAG